rnacentral:rRNA from 1 species
AGGACGAACGCUGGCGGCGUGCCUAACACAUGCAAGUCGAACGGAGGUAGCAAUACCUCAGUGGCGAACGGGUGCGUAACACGUGAGGAAUCUGUCCAUCGGCGGGGGAUAGCCGGCCCAACGGCCGGGUAAUACCGCGUACGUCGGCGAGAGCGCAUGCUCAUGCCGGGAAAGCAGCAAUGCACCGAUGGAGAUCUCGCGGCCUAUCAGCUUGUUGGUGAGGUAACGGCUCACCAAGGCGACGACGGGUAGCUGGUCUGAGAGGAUGAUCAGCCACAUUGGGACUGAGACACGGCCCAGACUCCUACGGGAGCAGCAGUGGGAAUAUUGCGCAAGUGGGGAAACCCUGACGCAGCGACGCCGCGUGUGGGAUGACGGCCGUUCGGUUAGUAAACCGACGUGUCGCGAGGACGAAGAUCGUGACGGUACCGUACGAAACGGAAGCCGACCGGACUAACGUCGUGU